ACCACUGGAAAAACCAUAGCCUUGACUAGACGGACCUUUGUUGGCAAAGUAAUGUCUCUGCUUUUCAAUAUGCUAUCUAGGUUGGUCAUAACUUUAGACUGUUCUAAGUUACAAUGGAUCUACGUAGGUGGAUUUCAGCACCAGGCCACUGUCAUUAAUGAUCUCAAGGGCUUUGGGAAUAAACUAGGGUGAUUCAAAAAAAAAAAAAAAAAGGAAAAACCAAGCCUGGUGGGCCAGCAGGAGGAUGUGGACAGUCCAUUCCCAGCUCAGGUCUGGGGAAGGCAGAUGUGAGCGUUGGAGCACUGGGGGGAUUGGGGGACAGAGGGUGAGUGGCAGGUGAGAUGAGGCAGUUAAGGGAGGAUGGAAGCUUAGACUGCAACCACAGAGAGAACACAGGAUCCCAACCAUGGUCAGAGGGUGGCUUUUUUGAGGAUGUACAUUGCCUGUCCAAAGCUGGAAGCACCUAGAAGUCACGGUCAGAGCUGGUGAACAGUCCCGGAUGAGAAGGAAGGAGUGGCCACAGAUGUGAGUGGGAGAAGAGAUGGCAGCAAGUGGACAUGAACUGAUCACAGCAUGUGUUGAUUGUCCUGUGGGUACAGCUGAGGUGAGGAGACACAGGCAUGGGGUGGGAGGACCAGUGCACCCCACAGGUCAGACUCGAGAGGGUGAGUGAGUCCUCUGGGUUGAGAGAGGUGAGCUGUGCCCAAGGACGAGGAUGGGGAGAUACAUGUUCAUUCUUCCCAGGAGCAUGCUGCAAAUGGGGAAGACUGCUGGUACCAGGGGGGUUUGUGGGGUGCAGGUCACGCUUCCUUCAGGAUCACAGACAGCUCUGACUUCCUACUCCCCCAUCAGCGAGGGUUAUUAAGUACAUAGGGACUCACUGUCCAGGGGAGUUAUUUGCAGUAGAGGCUUAAGACUCUGUCUCCCACACAGAAGCCACCAGGGAGCUGAGAAUGACGUCACAUCCCUGCGAUAUCAUGUCACAGGGGAAGCUGCCAGCUGUGGAUUACAAAGCCAAGUUCAGACGGCUCACACCCUAGGCAGCAUGGAUCCCUACUCUGUAAACCCGGGUAAUUCCUGAAAUGGUCCCUAAGGCUGAUCCAAAUCUACGAGCCUGACUUCCCUGUUUCCUUGAGCUUCCCCAGCCCAUUCCUGAUUAAAGACCAAAGAGAAAAAUGCUUCAUAAACAGAACAGCCUGGGAAAUUGUGAAAGAAAGCAGCCUGAAUGAUGAAGUGGCAUCCUGCUGCUAUCAUAAACAUUCCUUGAUGCCAGUCUUGACAAGCAACAAAUGAUCAACAAACUAUUGAUGGCUUGCUCAGCUUAUGAAAAAUGUGUCCAGCUGUGGGUCAACAAGUUCUGGCCUGGGAGUCCAAGGCAGAUGUGCCCAGGUGAUGUCACUGCUGACCAUCUGCCCUGGGUGUCAGAUCCCUUCUGGAUAACAGCGUAGGACCAACAUGCCCGGGGGCGUGUGAUAAAGAUGUUUUUGGAGUACCUACUGUAGGGCCAACACGAUGCUAGAUGCUGAGAAGGCUGCAAAGAAGGGGAAAUCUGUUGGGAAAUUCAUAGUUUAAUCAGAAGGAGGAGCCCCUGGAAGGGACCUGCUUUUAGGAAACACCUACUAUGUGGCAGGCACUGGUUAGACCUAGCCUCAUCUAACCCUAAGAGCAGCCACUGAGCUCUUCCUAUCUUCAUUCUAUGGCCAAGCACGCUGGGGAGGUCGGAGACCAGAGGUCACCCCACUUGCCCAAAGCAUCACAGCUUGUGGAUGAGAACUGACCCUUUUAGAGCAAGACCACCUGUUCUGUUUGCCCCAAUUCCUGUUCACUUCAGCUCCAUGGGCAAAGACCUCGCUGAAAGGACAAGUCUAUCCGAGUGAGACCUUGAUGUUAGACAUACUUCUCAGGUUCUUUUUAGCAGCCCAGCAUCCAGACAGAAUUUUCACUUGGGAAAGUGAAAGCGUUAGUCACUCAGUCGUGUCUGACUCUUUGCGACCCUAUAGACUGUAGCCCACUGUAGCCCUUCUGUCCUCGGAAUUCUCCAGACAAGAAUACUGGAGUGGGUCACUGUGCCCUCCUCCAGGGGAUCUUCCCGACCCAAGGAUCAAACCCGUGUCUCCUGCAUCACAGGCUGAUUCUUUACCAUAUGAGCCAGCUCGGAAGCCCGACAUGUCUUAAUAUCGCCAAUUUAAAAACAAAAUCAAAGAUAACUGUUGGCAAGGCUGUGGAGAAAUUGGAGCCCUUGUACAUUGCGACUUGGGAUGUUUAGCCCAGUGAGGCUGGAAAACAAACUGGAGAUCAGUUUGAUGGGUUUUCAAAAAAUAAAUAUAGAAUCACCAUAUGACCCAGCCAUUCCACACCCAUGGUCUGUAUGCAAGAGAGCUGAAAGCAGGUGGUCAAACAAAAACUUGUAUGUGAGCACUCACAGCAGUGCUAUUCACAGUAGCUGAAAGGUGGAAACAGUCCAAAUGCCCAUCAGCCACUGACAAGAUCAGCAAUUGUGGUCUCUCCAUACAAUGGAACAUUGUUCAGCCAAAGAAAGAAAUGAAGUUCCGAUGCAUGUUGCAAUGUAGAAGAACCUUGACAUUCUCAGCCAGAUGAAGAAAAGCUACAUUUGGACGGUCACGUGUUGUUUGAUUCCAUUUCAAUGAAAUGCCCAGAAGGGACAAAUGUAUGAAGGUUGAAGGCAGAUCAGUAGUGGCCUGGGGCUAGCGGGAGGAGGUGACUUGGAAGCAACUUUUAAUGGGUUGGAGGGCUGCUUGGUUUGCGUGAUGAAAAUGUUUUGGAUCUAGACAGACAUGGUGGUUGCACAAUUAUGAAUGUAUUUGUGCAUUCAUAUGCCACUGAAUUACUCUAUCAAGUUUUUGGCCACCCUAUGUGGCAGCCAACAAGCCUCUGUUUAGGUACCAUUUUGAAAUACAUAAAAAAUUUCAACCAUUUUUUUUAAGGUGGAGUGGAAUGUUCUAAAAUCAGACCCUCCUCCCUAUUCAUCAGUUUGGUUUAAGCUGGGAAAUCAAGGCUUUUGCAUCCACCCAGUGACCAAGCUUCAGACCCUCACUCUGUGUGCUCACCAGCUGUGUGUCCUUAAGCAACUCAGUUAAGCUCUCUGAGCUCAGCUGCCUUAUCAUAAACAGCAUGUGGGGAUCAAUAGCCAUGUGUGAAUGCAAUACUCAACACACAACAGAGACUAAUAAA